rnacentral:lncRNA from 1 species
CUUGGGACCUUGUAUGUAAGAAAACAUUGAGUCAGAAGAGAGCGUUAGUCAUAGGGCUACUGAAACACAAGGUGACGAGAACUAUUAGGCAAUUGAGUGCAUUCCCUGCAGGGCUGCUCCCACUUCUAUCUGACUUGGGUCUAGAUGACUCAAGUGAUUCCCGAGGGGAAAAUAAUCUAUGUGGAACAGCUGUCAUGAGCAGGCCUUCUGCUGCUCUUCAGCCUCAAUUUCAGCCUGCUACUUCCCGUGACAUCAUUCAGUGUCCUCCCUUUAAGGGGACAGUUUUCUCUUGUAUUACAGGUGACUGCUUGAAGGUGGCUAGACGAGAGCAUACUGCCACCACUCUUUAUUUGGAGGCCUGUAACCUGUCUUGAGUGUGUCGCAGGAAGACUCAGUUACAGUGUUCCCUGAAUAUGUAGCUUUCCAUUACAAUGGUAUGCAAGCCAAGAUGAAACCACCUCUGUUUGGGUUUCAGCAGCUGUCUGCCUACGGAAGGCUCCAGAGUCCCUGACACAUAUUUAUAUCUCCACUUCACUGAAGUCACAAGGAACAAACAACACCUGCCAUUUCCCAAAUCUCAUAAAACAUAUACAUGGAUGAGACCAAAGAGAGGCAUGAGAUUCCAUUCUUAUGAAGGAGACAGACAGGAAAGAGGGCAAGGGAUCCUACUAAUGCAACACAGAGCUCACAAAUGCAUCCUUCCCUCGAGGCCAGAGUGGCAACAGACCAUAGAGCCACCCUUCAACUGAAGCAAGAUGCAUGGAGACUGUUUCCACUUAGGAGUCAGAUAAAAGGCCAGAGGAACCCACAUGGCUGUGCAUAAAGGCUCCAGUUGAUAAAUGGAUAAGCAACAGUGGAAACAACAGGUUCACAGGAAGCACCUGGCAUACAGUAACUAUUAUUAAUUUCUGCACUGGAGGCAUCAGGAAAGACUUCACGCUAUAAGGGGCCCUUUUAAGUUAAGAAGUUGGAGAGCAAGCCUUGGGGAAAGCAAAGAGAUAACUUAGUAGAAUGGAGCAACCAUACGGGAACAGUGAGAGUCCAUGGAUCUCUCUGGGCUAAGAUCAUGUAUGGAUUUGACAAUCUGGGGUGGAAGCCACAUGUACUGUUAUUAAGUGGAAAUGUCUCGUGAACAUGUGGAAAGUGAUGACUGGAACUUCAGAUGAAAGUCAAAGCUGGAGAUAGGAGAUUCAGAAGUCACCCCACCAAAGAAGGAAUGGUUAAAGCUAUAAGAACUAAUGAGAUCCUAUUUAUUUGCUUAUUCAAUCAACAUACGUAGACCAGUUCAUAGUCUCCUAAAAAAUAAUGUAGAGAACAAUAACAGAAUCAAAGAUAAUCUUGAACGUCUAUAUUUAAGGGGUUGAAUGUAAAAGGCCUUAAAGGAGGCAGAAAAAUAGCAAUGAGAAAAGUUUGGGAAUUCUAAAACAAGACAGUAUUUCAGAGGAAGAAAAUGCAGGUAAUACAUGGGCAAGUUUCACACACAGAGGUGAUGCAUCCUGGUGACCAAUAUUACAAGGAAGAGAGAUGAUGACUGAGGACAGGCUGGUGGACUUGAUUUGAGGUCAAUGGUAUGAGGAUAAUUUCAGCAGAGUGGUGGGAUGGAGCGAAACAGCAGGUGUGUCAAGAAUGAGUUAAGCUUUGAGAAAGGGGAGACUUCAGAUGCAGACAACUCAUUCCUGAAUCUGUGCUUCAAAAACAAGAAAAAGCCCAAGAUGUCAGGAUAUCUGCAGGGUCAAGCAAAGCAUUUUUUUCACGAUGGUAAUAGAUAAAAGAGAUUUCUCUAGCCUGCUGGUCUAAGGAUCAGACAGAGGGUGGAGGUGCUUGAUAAGGAUAGUCAUGGCAUUUUUUGCAGACUGAAAUGAUAUUUGAAAACUAAGUGCUAGCCUGUGUUAUAGCUACUUACCCGCUGAGGAUCAAACGUACAUUUAUUUGCCCUACUGCCCAACUUAUGGCUAUGCCAGUUAUGUCCUUUUUUUUCCUUAUCAUUUCUUUUCAGCUUGUUUUCCCGAACUGUGGUGUCGCCUUGCCCUUGAGAACCCAGCUGAGGUCUAGACUGUUUCAUGGAUCACCUAAGCUUGGAGCUACAGUUGGGCUGCAAAGUUGUUCCUCUAGUGCUGAUACAAGAACAUAGCUGGUCCUCUUGUUCAUAGUGGUAAAUAUUUUUAAAAUCUGAC